GACGAACGCUGGCGGCGUGCCUAAUACAUGCAAGUAGAACGCUGAAGGAGGAGCUUGCUUCUCUGGAUGAGUUGCGAACGGGUGAGUAACGCGUAGGUAACCUGCCUGGUAGCGGGGGAUAACUAUUGGAAACGAUAGCUAAUACCGCAUAAUAGCAGUUGUUGCAUGACAACUGUUUGAAAGGUGCAAUUGCACCACUACCAGAUGGACCUGCGUUGUAUUAGCUAGUUGGUGGGGUAACGGCUCACCAAGGCGACGAUACAUAGCCGACCUGAGAGGGUGAUCGGCCACACUGGGACUGGGACACGGCCCAGACUCCUGCGGGAGGCAGCAGUAGGGAAUCUUCGGCAAUGGACGGAAGUCUGACCGAGCAACGCCGCGUGAGUGAAGAAGGUUUUCGGAUCGUAAAGCUCUGUUGUAAGAGAAGAACGAGUGUGAGAGUGGAAAGUUCACACUGUGACGGUAUCUGACCAGAAAGGGACGGCUAACUACGUG
rnacentral:rRNA from 1 species